AGAAGUGGCGAAGCUGGAAGGUCCAUCGGAGGUCAUGAAGCUCGCUGGACAAUAGACACUAGAAUCUAGAAUAGCAACAUGUACAUUAUUUCUCCAUUUCAUUUCCUUUGUCAUAAUAUUUCACCCUCCUUUUGGUAUUCCUGUUACCUUCUUUUUUCCCCUUUAGUGAGUUUUCACCGCGCCAUGUUGUGUAAGCCAGUAUUUACUGGCUCUGAAGGACAGUGUGAUGUUGUAUUCCAGCCUCACCAAAAGGUCUUACUAACCUUUGAUGCAGCAGCGAAAGUUACAAUGUCGUAGCUUGAUGGAUGGUUGUUUUUGUUUUAAUGGUUUCACAUGCUGUUACUUCCACCGCUGUUCAAGUAUAAGCGUUCGUACUUUGAAAAUGCUGUACUGUAUACACAAAAAACAUUAGGUAACCUGCACAGCUACAGCAGCCAAGUUGAUGAGGCUGUGCAGCCGCAGCUGAAACAGUCGCAGCACAACAUCGUCCGUUUGGAUCCGUACAUCAACCAGAUCUCUCAAUUCUGCCCGCUCGGAUUGAGAUAUCAACACGAGACUUGACAAAAAAACUCUGCUCGAUCGGAUUGGGACAUCGACCCGAACCUCCACGAACUUUGUCCGGUCGGAUUAGGACAUCGACACGAGCCACCACACAACCAACGUCACAGACUGGAUCCUCUUUUUUUUUAAAGGAAAGAGAAAUAAAGGUAAAGAAAGAAAGAUUUUUUUAAAGGAAAGAGAAACAAAGGAAAAGAAAGAAAGCGCCGCUCAACCAUCGCUUAAGCAUGCCACUUUGCCAGAAUUGCCUGACAUCGUGACGCCGAAGACGUCGCCGAUGCCAGCCCAAACUGGCUUGGGUUUUCACCCGCCUCAUCCGAUAGGUAAGGCCAACAUCCUACUCGUUUGGCCCUAGACAGGAGCCAAGGUCUGCGCUAGAGAUGCUCAAUGUCGCCUUCAAGAAGGACAUGACGCGAAUGGCGCCAUUGACGCCAUCUUAAGGAGGGAUGAGUUUUCACCCGCAUCGUCACCGCGGUGCAAAGAGAUAGCCGGGGCCACCACCACCAUGGCGCUGCUGGUGAGCCUCCGCACGGCCGCAGCCAACGACACCACCACGAUGAUGCUGACAUACGCCCGAGCAAACCGUUUUCAGCCAUGCCACCAUGGUGUCGCUGAUACACCGCUGCACAGCACUUUGGAGCCCACCCACCGCGCCAGAUCGAACAAACGCCGGCACCUAGGAGCCCGUCCACCACAGGGGUAGACCGCGACGCCACUGGAGCGACUAGCCACCGCAGGGCGUUGGGUGACACCGCGUGCGCCGGUCGCAGACACCACCGCAGCCGAGGCACCUCGCACCAGCCGCCGUAGCCGAGCCAAGCGCGCGCCCGACGCACGCGCCGCCGAAGCCGGGCCCCAUCGUCACCGCCUCAAGAAGCAACCACCACCGCAAAUCCCCGGCACGCCGAGGCUCCGGGGAAGGAGAUCCGGCGGCCGAGGGUGCGGACCCAGCCAUACCCUAGGCAGAUUUGGUCACGGUCGGUCGGCGGCAACCGCCGCUGCCAUGAUCGCCACCAAAGAGAGCACGAGGGGAGGAAAGGAGAGGAGGAGGGUGGUGGAGCCCCGCCGCCGCCUUCCUUACAGCCGCUCGGGCUUCCGGCGGCCGCUCGGGGUGACAGCGAGGAGGGGAUGCGGCGCUGGAAGGGGCGGCGGCUCCACCCGAGCCGCCCCGAGGAGGAGCAACGCGGGGGCUAGAUUACUCAAGGAACAUUUGAUAGAAAUGAAUAUUGCUUCUACAGUUCUGCAGUUUAGUGGAAAUGAGUCUCAUGUAUAUCUAUAUGAUCAGCAGGCUCACCGCUAAAUAUAGGCCCAGCAUGCUUGUUCUUUAUGUUGCCAUUCCUUGUCUAAAGACAAACCAACUGAAGUGGAGUUUCACUGGUGCUUUUGAGGUAGUGUUCAUGAUCUUUCGUGUUUCCUACUUGUGCAAUAUGGGCAUUGUCUCAUUAUUGUUGCCAUGCUUUUCAUUUAUUUGUGAAUGGUAACAUUGGUCUUGUGAAGUUUCUCUUGUUGACAUUGAACACCUAACAUAGAAAAUUGCAUAACUCAGUAUAGAAUAGCUCUAUGUCAAUAUGUCCCACGUGAUACUCGGAAGAGGCAAGUUAUUUGGCUAUCAAACUUAUGAUCUACCACAUGGCAACAUUCUUGAUAUCUCAUGCAGAGUGUUGUUCUGAAUUUUGAUAGAUAUUGGUUCAUUUUCCACCUAGUGCUCUGUUCCUUCGUGAUUCUAGUAGGAUUUCGCUCAAUACUGCAUCUGUGGUAUCUUCCUUUUCUUGAGACAUUUUUAUUGAAAACAAUAAUUAAGAGCCUUGACUCCUUUUUUGUUUGAGAAGACAGGCCUGUGCUGAUAUUUGACACUAUGUAACUCGUAUUUGUUGUAUGGUUUCUUCUAGGCAAGACAAUCACUCAUUGUUUUCUCUGAUGCUUGCUGAUCCACGGCAUCCAGUAAGUUAACAAUCUCUUUAAUUCAUGAAUCUAGUAUGCAAAACACAUACUGGUUGGAUUUCGUUCAGUUGCAAAACACAUCAAUCCCUAUCAUUGGGACAUUUGAAACACAAACUGCUCAAGUUUUAACGUCUUUUCUGGCACACAGGCAGCUAUGUUACUGAAGAGCAGGCUGCAAAGGCACAUGAUUUGGCAGCCCUUAAAUAUUGGGGCACAGAUCCAAACACCAAACUGAACUUCAGUGUAAGAUUUUUUUCUUGAUAAUUCUGUGUAAGAAUUGUAUGUUGCUUAAUGCAUACUGAUAUGUUUAGUGAAAGAGACAUUUAGGCGAGCGAAGAUUAGAUUGAUUAUACAGGAGCACAGGCUACAACCAUAUAUAGGUCUGGUCCCCAGACGCAGGGCAGCUAGGGUUAGGAACCCUAGCUGCCACCCUUAACUCGCUAGGGCCGGCGGCGCCCACAGGCGGGCUGCCUGCCAACUCAUACACGUAGCAGGGCCCGUAGACCCACUAGUGUACAUACAGGUAAAUACAAUCUAACACCUCCCCCCCAGUCGGAACGUCGACGCAGUGAACGUUGAGACUGGACCUGAACUUAGUGAACACUGAAGACGGCAGUCCUUUGGUGAAGAUGUAGGCGAACUGUGAGGACGUCGGUACAUGAAGGACGCGGACGUCACCAAGAGACACGCAUUCCCGAAUGAAGUGCAGAUCAAUCUCCACAUGCUUGGUGCGUUGGUGAUGGACCGGAUUAGAUGCCAUGUACAAUGAGCUAAUGUUGUCGCAGUAGACCAAUGUCGCUCUGGUCGGUGGGGCGCCCAACUCGAGCAAGAGUUGACAGAGCCAGGUAGCCUCAGCGACGGAGUUGGCGACAGCACGAUACUCGGCCUCAGCACUGGAGCAAGAAACAGUGUGCUGGUGUUUGGAGGACCAAGACACCAUAUUGUCGCCGAAGAAAACCGCGUAGCCGAAGGUGGAUCGACGAGUGUUUGGACAACCUACCCAAUCAGCGUCGGAGUAGGCCACAAGCUUGGAGGAGGAGGACGGUUGAAUAUGGAGACCCAGAGUAGCAGUGCCAUGAAAAUAGCGCAGGAUGCGCUUGAGAGCAACCAGGUGGCGCUCCCGAGGAUCGUGCAUAUGCAAACAGAUCUGCUGAACGGCAUAAGCGAUAUCCGGUCGGGUGAAAGUCAGGUACUGCAGUGCACCAGCGAGACUGCGAUAGGCAGUGGCAUCCUGGACAGGAGGUCCAGCAUUAGCUGAUAGCUUGGUGCAGGUGUCAAUGGGGGUGGCGCAAGUCUUACAAUCAGACAUAUUGGCACACUUCAGAAUGUCCAGGGUGUACAGAUGCUGAGACAGAAAUAUACCGCUAGCGGUGCGCUGAACAUGAACACCGAGAAAGUGAUGAAGAUUACCCAGAUCUGACAUAGAAAACUCCCGCUGCAAAGCUACAAUAGAGUGCUGAAGAAGACCGGGAGUAGAGGCAGUGAGGACAAUAUCAUCAACAUAUAAAAGUAAAUAAACGAUAUAUGUGCCCCGGCGAUAGAUGAAUAGCGAAGUAUCCGACUUGGCCUCAUGAAACCCAAGUGACAGCAAAUAGGAAGCAAACCGACUGUUCCAAGCGCGCGGAGCCUAUUUAAGGUCAUAGAGGGAUUUGUUGAGCUUGCAAACAAAACCUGGAUGAGCUGGAUCCUCAAAACCAGAGGGCUGAGUGCCAUACACAAUUUCAGACAAAAUCCCAUGUAGGAAAGCAUUCUUAACAUCCAUUUGAUGAAUUGGCCACUGUCGAGAGAGGGCAAGAGAUAGGACGGUGCGAACGGUGGCUGGCUUCACAACUGGGCUAAAAGUUUCAUCGUAGUCGAUGCCAGGACGCUGUGUGAAACCCCGAAGUACCCAACGUGCCUUGUACCUUUCCAAUGAACCAUUGGCAUGGAAUUUGUGUUUGAACACCUAUUUACCUGUGACAACAUUAGCUCUGGGAGGACGAGGCACCAAGUCCCAAGUGUGAUUCUGAAGCAAAGCAUUGUGCUCCUCCUGCAUAGCUGACCGCCAAUGAGGAUCAGCAAAAGUGCUCCGAAAGGAGGUGGGCACCAGCGACAACACGGCGGUGUGAAGUAGAGUCGGGAAGCGAUGAUUGAGCUUGGACCGAGUCUGCAUAGGGUGCUGAUUUACCGCUGGAGGGCACGGGAUAGCACCCUUGGGCAGAGGGGCGGGCGGGUUGACGGGAGUAGGCGGUGGAGCACUCGACGGCCCACGGAUGCUCGGUGCGGUCGGGGUCGGGGCGAUCGGGGCGGCGUCCAGCGGCCCCCAACGCGUCGACGGUCCACGAGCGCCAGGCGUGAUCGGGGUCAAGGCGGUCGAGGCGGCGUCCAGCAUCCCCCAACGCGUCGACAGUCCACGGGCGCCAGGCACGGUCGGGGUCGGGGCGGCGUCCAGCGGCCCCCAACGUGGCAACAGUCCACGGGCACUAGGCGUAGACAGGGUCGGGGCGCCAGGCACGGUCGGGGCGGCGUCCAGUGUCCCCCAACGCGGCGACAGUCCACGGGCGCCAGGUGCGGUCGGGGUCGGGUGCCAGGUGCGGUCGGGGCGGCGUCCAGCGUCCCCCAACGUGUCGACGGUCCACGGGCGUCAGGCGCGGUCGGGGUCGUGGUGGUCGGGGUAGUGCUAGAAACCGGCACAGGGUGGGGAACUGGUGCAUAGGCCCGCACAAGCGGCACCCAGGGAGCGGCAGGGGCCAACACGGCAUCGCCAGAAGCCGGCGCGGUGGUGCCAGGGGCCAACAAUGUGUUGGACGGGGAGGAACCUGCACAUGGAGAAAAUGGUGACAGACUAGCAGAAGUCAGCACUGGAUCAGUAGAAUCGUCCACAAAGUCGAACGCCACAGGUGAAGGUGUAGAGGUUGCGGAAGUGAACGGAAAGACAGACUCGUCGAAGACGACGUGCCGAGAGAUGAUGAGACGAUUCGAAGAGAGGUCAAGGCAGCGGUAUCCCUUAUGAUGUGCCAAAUAGUCGAGGAAGACACACAGCAUGGAGCGAGGUGCGAGCUUGUGCGUGGCUGUGGCGGAUAGGUUGGGGUAGCAUGCGGACCCGAAGACUCUAAGGUGGUCGUACAUGGGUUCGAAACCGAAAAGUGCAAGGUGUGGUGUACGAAACUGAAGAGUCAAAGUGGGUAGAAUGUUGAGGAGGUGGAUGGCGGCGUGGAGGGCCUCAACCCAGUAGGACGGAGGGGCACUAGCCUGGAAGAGGAGGGUCCGGAUGACGUUGUUGAUGGAGCGGAUCAUACGCUCAGCGUGGCCGUUCUGGGAGGAGGUGUAGGGGCACGACAUGCGAAGGUGAACUCCAUGUCCAUGGGAGAGAAAAAAACAUGUGCGUGCUGGAGUUAUCGAACUCACGGCCGUUGUCGCACUGAACAACCUUGAUGGUGGUGCCAAACUGGGUGGAGACAAAAGCGAAAAAGUUAGACAAUGUGGUGAACGUGUCAGACUUAAGACGCAAAGGAAAAGUCCACAAGUAGUGUGAGCAAUCAUCAAGGAUGACAAGAUAGUACUUGUAACCAGAGACACUAGGAAUAGGAGAUGUCCAUAAAUCACAAUGUAUAAUGUCAAACUUAUGAGACGCUCGAGAAGUGGACAAAGCAAAAGGUAGGCGAACAUGUUUGCCUAACUGACACGCAUGACAUAAGGAGGCGCCUGGCGAGGGAGUAGCAGCAAUCGACGACUAGGCAAGUCUGGAGAGUAGGGCAGCGCCAGGGUGACCAAGACACUGGUGCCAGACAGAAGCGGAGGGAGGCCCGACCUGGAGAGCGGUGACAGCAGGGAGGUGCAGCGGGUACAGGGGGCUGGGGCUAUUGCACCGAACGAUCUCUCUCCGGGACGGAAGAUCCUUCACAGAACAGCCAGCGGGAUCAAACUCCACAGAAACAUUAUUGUCAGUAGUGAACUAGCGCACAGAUAUAAGAUUCUUAAUAAUGUGGGGGGAAACCAAAACAUUGUUGAGACGAAAAGGACUAGGAAGAUGUGCAGUGCCAGUGAGAGAGACGGGAAGCAACAUGCCGUUGCCGACAACAAUGGAGGAAGGAGUGGGAUACCGCGGAGGAGAGGGAUGCGAGAGAGUACCAGGGUCGGAGGACACAUGGGAGGAGGCACCUGAGUCGAAGUACCACCCCUACUGCCGCUGAGACUGUUGAAGUGUCAUGGUGUGAAAGGAGUUGGCGAGCGACUGCUGAUCCCAUGAUGGCACGGCAGAGAACCCUGGAGGCGGCUAGCUCCAGGCGCAGAGGGCCUGCGGCUGAGUCGCAGGUUGGGAUGCCGGGCGCGGGAGUGGCGCCAGGGGGGUUAGGGGGACCCAGGCCACAUCUGGAUCAUCCCUGUCCACGGAUCGUAGAAGGAGGGCUAGGUGCUGGGAGGACUAGGCGCAGCGCCAAACCCUGGCAUGGUUUGCUGCUGUUGCUGCGGCUGCUUGCCCUUGUUGCGGCCGCGGCUGCCCCGGUUGCCGCAGGGCUGCUGCUGCUGCGGCUGCUGGCCGUGCUUGGACGGCUAGCCGCCCGAGCCGGCUUGACCCUGGUCGGCGCCUCCCUACGCAGGUUGGGAGGAGGCAGAGGAGGCGGAGUCGGGGCCACCAGACGAGGCGGUGACGAGGGCGGUGGCUGCCGAAGUCGUGGACAUGGUGAGCUCCUCUAGGAGCAGGUCAGCGCGAGCCUCCAGGAAGGAGGGGAACGAACGAGCGCGAUGAAGGUGCAUGCCGAUAGAAGAGAAGCGAUCAGCGAGCCCACGGAUAAGGUUGAGGACGAGGGUGCGGUUGGGGACGGCCUCGCCGAGGUCAUCGAGGGCGUUGGCCAUGCUCUUCAUGUGGCGGCAGUAGUCGGUGACGCUGAGAUCGCCCUGACAAAAAGUGCGAAACUCGAUUUCCAGAAGAAGAGCACGAGUCUCACGGUUACCGAUGAACUGUUCCUCCAAGGCCAACCCGACGGCGCGGGCGGUGGUGUGCGAGGAGACGGCAGCUUCCUCCAGGUCGGCGGAGAUGGUGCCAGAGAGCCACGUGAGGACGACGCAGUCCAUCCGGACCCAGUCGGGAUGGGUGCUGACGGUGUCGGUGAGGACGUGGCCGGAUAGCGAGUACUUGCUGAGGGUGAGGAGAAACUGGUUGCGCCACCACGUGUAGUUGCCGGUCUUGACGUCGAGGAUGAUGGUGACAAUGGCGCGGAUGUUCUGGACAGCCACCGCCUGAGCAUGGAGCGCCACGAGGUGGGCGGCUUCCUGAUGGAGGAGGGCGUCGCCGAAGAUGGCGUCAUCGGGGCGAGGGGGACCGAGAGCGCGCUUCAACGCUUCGCACUCACGGGCAACGGCGGCGAUGGCGGCCUGCUCACAGGCAGUAGCCUCCUCGCGGGCAGCAACAGUGGCGGUGAGGACGCGCUCGGCGGCCUCCACGCGAGCAUGGGCGUCGGCAGCCACGGCGACGGCGGUGGCCUCGUGCUGCACCGCGUUGCGCUUAGAGGCAGCGGGGGCGGUGGCAGCUGCGCCGCUUGGGGCGCUAGGAGCGACGGCAGGGCGUUCGAGGCGCCAGCAGGGGCGGCGACAGGAGCGCUGAGGGAGCAGGAGAGAAGGCGUGGAUGUUGCGCGAAAAGCGGAAGCUAGAGACCUAGGGCUGAAACCUAGACUCGUGAUACCAUGAAAGAGACAUUUAGGCGAGGAAAGAUUAGAUUGAUUAUACAGGAGCACAGGCUACAACCAUAUAUAGGCCUGGGGGACCAGACGCAGGGGCAGCUAGGGUUAGGAACCCUAGCUGCCGCCCUUGACUCGCUAGGGCCGGUGGCACCCACAUGCGGGCCGCCUGCCAGCUCAUAUACGUAGCAGGGCCCGUAGGCCCACUAGUAUACAUACAGGUAAAUACAAUCUAAUAUUUAGGAACUAGCGUAUCUUGUUCAAGAACUGGGAAAGUAAAUUGCAUUAAUAGCUUUUAUUUGUUAUCAGAUUUCUGACUAUGAGAAAGAAAUCGAGAUUAUGAAGACCAUGUCUCAAGAUGAAUUUGUAGCCUACAUAAGGAGGUCAGUGGUACAUUCAAACAUUUAUAUUGUAGCACUUAUAUGAUGUGAUCUUUUUUAUUGUCAUGAUUUAUUGUUAUAGGCAAAGCAGUUGUUUCUCAAGAGGUACUUCAUCAUACCGGGGUGUGACCAGGUGAUGUUCCUUCUUUGCUAAAUGAACUAAUAACCAUUUGAUAUCCUUUGAAUGAGCAAAAAAAAAAUGUUGUGCUUAACUGGGGACGGUUGAAUGGUAUGUUGCAAUUUUGCAACUUUCUCUAAUCACUUUUUUACCAACAGACAAAAGGAUGGUAAAUGGCAAGCACGAAUUGGUAGGAUUGGUGAGAGUAGAGACACCAAAGACAUUUACCUUGGGACUUUCGGUGAGUUAUAGUUUUCUACCUUGUUGAACUUCCAAAGCUUUUCUGAAUGAUAGUCACUAGGCACUACGAGCUUGUUUCUGUCAACUAGAAAGCUACUGUUGAUUGAUAUUUGAUGCGCAAUUAUUUUUAAAAUUGGCCAUGGCUUGCAGACACUGAAGAAGAGGCGGCAGAAGCUUAUGACAUAGCAGCAAUUGAGCUUCGUGGUUACUGUUUACCAAUGUAAGAGUAAGCAAGGAAAGUGAGGACGAGGAAGAUAAGCACUGCUCCUGUAAAUCCUGUUCGGUCCUUCAGAUGGAAUUUAAAUGACAGCAUGAAUGCCUUCACAGGAAUGCACUGACUGGUUACUGUUUACCAAUGUACGAGUAACAAUGUACUACCCAACUUGGUCAUGGCUACACCUGCUGUUGACAAAAUUUGAGCAGGAGCCAGUAAUAAAACUCGAUUAGGAUCCGUCAAUCCACCAUAAACGCCGAAAAGAGGGAAAAAUUACAAAUGAUUGUACAGGUACCUGCUACCAGAAAGAUCACUGAAAUUUAUUCCAAUAGUAAUCAAGCAACCAAUAGGGACUGGAACGGAGUGAUAUUUGCCUUACAGCUACACUAGACGCACUAGCCGGGAGGGAUACAUAGCAGAACAAGCAGUGAUAAGCAGCCUUUACAUUACCGCUGCAAAUAGACGAUGGACCUGCUACCUGAAAAGGCACCGUACAAUGGCCGACAGAGGCUCACGCCUGUGGCGGUGGCUUGGCGAUGGCGACGGGGAAGUCGAUGACGACCACCUUCUCGAGUGCGGCCAUGAACGUGGCGGCGAACGCGGCGUGCUUCUCGUGGGACACGUAGGCGGUGAGGUCGUCGGCGGAGGCGAAGGUGAGGGAGAAGACGUGGGUGAAGCCCUGCGUCAGCAUCUCCUGGUUCAGCACGUCCUGCCCCCUGCAACAACAGUUUCAGUAUUCGUUCGUUCGUUCGUUCAUGGAGGCCAUGAACACAUUGCAAUAUCUAGCUAUGGUAGCCCAUCUCUCUUUUAGUUUAGUGAUCAUCGUGAUACUGUCCUUGCUGGGCACGUCAGUUUUGAGUAAAGCAGACUCUGAAGAAGUUGGACAGAUACCUGGAUGACUGAACAAAAGCUUGCUUAACACAUUCAGACUUCUAAUAGCAUGCGUUACUACUUGAAGAUGUAGUGUAAAGUUUACCCAAAAAGUUGAAAUGCUGAAUACACAUUCAGCUUCACUGAAGUAAAGCACUAAUAGCUAGUUUCUGAAGAAGUUGCUAUGCGCUGAGUGACUGAACGUAAGCCUAUAACACAUUCAGACUCCUACACAUCCUUGACGAAAGGGGGGAAAUGGAGGAGGAAGUGCAAAGGUAACUCGAUCAUCAUAGUGUUACCACUCGAAGGAUUUGACCAUGUCCAUCUGGGCGGCAAGGUCGGCCAUGCCUUUGAGGACGUCCUCCACCACGACGCCCUCCUUGAACUUCACCAGGCACAGGUGCUUCACCUCCCCCAUGCCGCACUCCGAAUGGCUUUGCAGAGAGGAUCGGAGUGCCAAUGCGAUGGACCGUGGCGCCAUGAUGCCCGCCCAAUUUAAGGCCGGAGCACCGACAGAGCUGCUCCUCUCGCGCACUGGGCUGAAUCAUUUCGGCACAGUAAACACGACGCACAGAGCUGCUGGUUUGAGAGCAUGCUGACGCGGUUAGAUCUAGGAUGAGUCCCUCGUGCAUGAUUUCGAUUGGACCGACCGACAUCCACGUACGACGGUGCGUGGGCAGCCAUAUGAUGUGCCGGUGCUCUCUGCUCUCCCCUCCCCUCUUCUGCAUCUCUGUUGUGGAGAUUGGGGUUUUGCUUUCCAUGAUGAGAGAUUUUGUUACGCUGAUCUGAAUGAUCUUCUGGUCCUGUUGGAUCAGAAUUCUUGGUCAGUAUUAUGGAACACGCGCAUGAUGCAUCACCAUCUACCGGCUAAUCUCUCCCAGGUUCAGAGACAAAUAAGGCCUCGUUCGUUUCACCGGAUUGGCCCGGAAUGAGGUCCAUUCCGGAUGGUUUGAAGUGACCCGGUUUGAAAUCAGACUUGCAUUGAAAGUGUUGUUCGUUUUAGUCUGGCCUGGAACGAAAACCGACCUGGAUUGGAAUCCUUCUACAUUAGAUGGCCCGGAUUGAAACCAUACCUCCUCACCCCUGGAAUGAAUCCUGACCGGAUUGAGUGACACGGAUGGAAUCACUCAAACCGGACCUGAAAGUAAUCCUAGCUGGAAUCCAAUCCUGGUGAAACGAACGAGGCCUAAUAGGAGAUUGGAUUCAGACCACAUGGUGCUACAGCAGACGUGUGGUAUGGAUACUACUACUGUCAUGUCUGACUGAGCAUUCCUUAGUUACACGCUGACAAGAUGGCAACUGGUCCUCAUGCUGUUCAGGAAGAAUUGUUACAUGCGUACCUGAGUGAGACAGCUGCAUCAGCAGUUGAUCUCCAGUAUCCCCCCAGAGAAGCGAAGCGUUUUCAUUUCAAAUGCUUUUGUCAGUUACGUUUAAUCUCCAGUACGGAAAGCAUGUCAAUGUCAAACGCUCUGACCACAUGGGACUAAUUGAUCAAGAUUAACUUCAUCCUAUUUGCUCAUGGCAACACAAAAUGUGAGAAGACUUUGGAUGCAAUUACCUGUUUUGUUUUAGAGUAUGCCUGAAGAGGAAGAAGAAGAAAAUGUGCACUCUCUGUUUUUUUUUCCUCCAACAAGAAAGAAACCUGAAUGAUUGCUCAUAUAUACAACAAACCCCUCAAAGCUAACCUACAACAGCCAUCCACCAGUGCAGAUGUUUUCACAUUUUACAGGACCUUCGCCCUGCAGUUCUGCAGAAAACAGAGACGCCAAAGCAGCUGCUAUUUGCAGGGCCCUAGCUGGGUAGAUCUGUCCACCUGCUUUCUUACUGUUUGGCUGUUAUUCUCAGGCGUGGGGUUAACUUCAGACAACGGCAUGUUGUUAGCCCCAUCCACUGAUGGGGCAGAUGCCACCUGAUUCUCCUGGUCGGGCUCAUGUCUAGGAACCUCUGAUGCCCUUGAUGAAUGUCCAGCGCUAACCAACAGGCAGCGGCAUGGAUCUGAUCUUGACGAUUCAGGAGAGCUUGGGGAGCUUAUCACUAUGCUGUGUAGAGGAGGAGGUGUGGUGUGUUCGCUAUCAGUAUCAGGGUUACCAAGCAAUGAGAUUCUACAGACUGGGCAGGUUGUGUUCUGCUCCAGCCACAAAUCUAUACAGGCCAUGUGGAAAUCAUGGCCGCAGUAAGGAAGGGUGCGUAGCACAUCUUUCUCUUCGUAUUCCGCAAGACAGAUGAUGCACCUGCCAAAAAUGAUGAAGCAGUUCAGUGACUAGGUUUAGUGCCAUCAAAGACGGUUGCUAAAGAAAAUCAACAGAAAACAGAAACGGCAAUCUGAAUACCAUGCAGCUAGGUUUAAGCAAUCAAGAACAGUUUAGUUACUGCUAAGCAUUCUGCCAGAUGAAUGGUUAAUCCAUUACUGUUUCCCUUUCAACAGGCACCGCAGAUGAGGUUAACCAACUUGAUAACAGAUGCCUCAUCAUUGGUCUCUAUCAUCUUAUUCAGGAAUAGUUAAACAGAUAUACCCUAUUUUGAUGUGAUUGAUCAAGUGGUCUUAGCUGUCCAGUAACAAUGCAAGAUGAGGGACCUAAUGAUUCAAUUGUCAAUGUCCAGCAUAACACAGUAAUCAAGGCACUGGUACUAAAAUAUCACACCAUUUUUCUCUAUUGAGGCACCGAAACCCUCAAGGACAAGGCACCUGCAUCCUCAAGGACAACUUCUUUGGUACUGAAAAUGUAAUUAACAUGCUCGAUGAUGACCUUUUCAGUGCCAAAAGGCUACCUCCUAAUAGGGUGGUGCAUCAUGAUUGUUCAGUAACAUUAAGCAAGCACAGACCCUAAAACCCUCAAGGACAAGGCACCGGCACCCUCAAGGACAACUUCUUUGGUACUGAAAAUGUAAUUAACAUGCUUGAUGAUGACCUUUUCAGUGCCAAAAGGCUACCUCCUAAUAGGGUGGUGCAUCAUGAUUGUUCAGUAACAUUAAGCAAGCACAGACUUGGCAAAGGGGCGCAAUGAAAAAUGUAGGAAAACUUGUCAGUAAAAUUUUAGGAAAUAUGUUAACAUUAACUGAUGGCAAGUAAGGUUGAGCCAUAAUUUCUCCUUAACUUUGUUUCGGUAAUUAAAACACUGAAAACAUCAUUUCCAUAUGAAGAGGACCCAAUAGAACUUGUGUUAGCUUAUAUACCGUCUACAGUCUAAUCAACUUUCACAUUCAACAACCAGGAACGGAACCAUUUCACAUUCCCAGUCCCACCCCCAAAAUAGUAUACAAGUAGUAUACUGGACAAGCAUAACAGUGCUACCAGACGAACAUAGCAGUGAUCCCCACAAGCACCCAAGUAAGCUGAUAGUAACACUGACAUCUGCCAAAACACCUACAAGCCACUGAUUGCGGCAUCCAGAUCCCCAAUUUGCAAUGCUACUUCUAUAACGGGAGGGGAGAGAGAUGCCCAUAGAACCUGUUCGUGACCCAUCUGAGAGUGCCCUCCCAACUACAAGCCCCUAGUUGCAGCAUGCCGACUCCCAACCAUCGAGAAAUCCUACCAGCAGAAACGUGCACGAUCAGGCAUGACAGUUCCGUUCAAACUGCAAUUUCCUAAUGACGAACUCGCCCACCGUCCACCACCGGCGAGUAACCAAUUCCACCGCUCUGCGAACUCAACUCGACCCGUCGACCGCACGCGAAAGCAAGAGCGCAGUAACGGCGGCACGCGGUAGAUUCGAAGCUUACAUUGCACGGGACGCUACAGUAGCGAGAGGUGGGUGGCGUGCAGGCACAGAUUGGAAUCGCGGAUUGCCAACCCAGAGAAUCAGAGGUAAUAACGGAUCGCGAUCGGCACGGGAAAUGAACCUGAAGUACUUACUGGGAAUCGGCGUCGGAGUCGGAGGAGUCGGAGGCGCCCGAGCCGCGCGGGCCGCCACCACCACCGCCGCCGCCGGCGAAGGCGCGGGUGGGGAAGGUGGCGACGGCAGCGGGAUCGAGGCCCCCACCGGCGGCGCCGCCCGCGGAGUGGCGUGGGACGGCGAAGGAAUAGUGGGAGGCGGUGAACUGCGGGAGGGGCGGGGCGCGGCGGGAGCGGCGGGCCCGGCGGCGGCGGAGGAGCGCGCAGGCGAGGCGGGAGCAGACGAAGACGAUGAAGAUGACGCUGAAGCAGAAGCCCGCGAGCGCGAGCGCCAUGCUCGACGACAUGGCGGGGCCCAUCGCGGCGGCCUCCGCCCCCCCCGCCACCAGAUGAUGCACGGUGUUCCGAGGGAUCAUUCCUUUAUACUCCUUUUUCUUUAAAUGCGAAAUUCUAAUGAUCAAGCCUUCAUACACACAGUGCCCUGAACCGCACCCUGCCAACGGCCCUAAAUACCCUUUAGGAUCUGCACGAUUCUCGAGUCCCCUUCACCGCGACUGGAGUCUUGCAGAUCUCUGUAGCAAUCUUUAUCCACUAGCUCAGAGUGACUGUACAAGUUUAUGCUGAUCCAGAUCUGAACUAAUAGUUAUUCAUCCUGCAAAGGCUCAAGAUCGAGGGGUCUGUAGCUUGAANNNNNNNNNNNNNNNNNNNNNNNNNNNNNNNNNNNNNNNNNNNNNNNNNNNNNNNNNNNNNNNNNNNNNNNNNNNNNNNNNNNNNNNNNNNNNNNNNNNNNNNNNNNNNNNNNNNNNNNNNNNNNNNNNNNNNNNNNNNNNNNNNNNNNNNNNNNNNNNNNNNNNNNNNNNNNNNNNNNNNNNNNNNNNNNNNNNNNNNNNNNNNNNNNNNNNNNNNNNNNNNNNNNNNNNNNNNNNNNNNNNNNNNNNNNNNNNNNNNNNNNNNNNNNNNNNNNNNNNNNNNNNNNNNNNNNNNNNNNNNNNUGAAGUGCCCCCCAGGGGGCUGGGGCGCGACCUCUCCUCCCUCCCUCUACUAGUGAGGUGGUGUGGAGGACAUGCGGUUGUGGUGGUGGCCUGGUGGGCUGUGCCGAUGCGACGCGCACUCGCCGGCAGCGCCCUGGUAGCCUUUUUUGCCUUUGCGUUGACGUUUUCAGUGGCCUGCUGCUGCUCGGGACGCCUCCUUUUGCCUUUGCCUUGCUUUGUGGUGUGGCGUGGCGUCGCGUGGCAUGGGUGGAUUUUCUAGCUGUUGCGGACGAUCCGCGAGCCGAACAAAAUGUUGGGUGCGGGAUGCCCGCGACCGCACCGCAACAGCAUCCUCUUCCGGCUCCAACGGAACGGAACGGAACGGCGCGCUACUGGCGGUAGUGGGCGACGCGCAAGCACACCAGGCGUCACAUCAGAUAAGAAAAAAUGACGUGGUGUGCAUGCAUUCCAGCAUUCGUCAACGUUUAGAUUCGCAUGGAAUGUCGCGGCAUCGUGCACGUUGCUUGGUAGAAUGUCAGGUACUGUAGGUUACAAAAGGGAGUCAACGACACGUUAGUGAAAGGAGGAAGAGCACAUUGGAAAAGGGUGACGUUCGGAUAGCAUUAGGCCACAAGAACAAAGCAAAAUGUUAGUGAAAUGAAAGGAGGAAUAGCACUUUGGAAAGCGUGAAUGUUCCGAUACGAUUAUGCCAGAAGAUGAGAAGAACAAAGCAAAAAAAAAUAAAAAAAAUGGAGAUGCGGGGUAUCGAUCCCCGUACCUCUCGCAUGCUAAGCGAGCGCUCUACCAUCUGAGCUACAUCCCCGGACGAUUUUCUGCCUUCCGGAGAAAUUUUAAGAAUCAAUAUCCGCAGAGUUGUCUCUAUACGGGCCGUGCUGGACAAAAUUGUUCGUUAAUUGAUCCUAGCAGACAGCCCGCGGACACUGGGCCUUCCUUUCUUUACGCUGUGUAUAAUGAACGGGUUGGGCCUCCCUUUUGUGAAAGAGAAGCACUGGGCCAUCCUAUGCAGCUGCCUCCUCAUGUCGGAAAAGGUCCAUUUUAUUCUCCUCACUUAUCCACUCUAUCCUCUUAACCUCCUGAAUAAAGUUUUAGCUCACUUUACUCUCCUGAAGUAUUUAUUUGAUCUAAUCUAUCCCUAAUUACAUUUAUAUUUUUUUCUUCGUGUAUGAGUUGAAUUUUGAAUUCAAAUUUUGUGAACAUAUACAAAACAUGAUGCCUUAUGUUAGAAAAUUAUACUAAGAAUUUUUCAUGGUUAUUUUCAUAGAUUAGAAAUAUUUAGUACGAAAUUGACCUUAGAUAUACAAAAUUGUACGAAAAGUAAUCAUGAAAAAAAUCUAAUAUAUAUUUUUUAACAUGGAACAUCAUGUUAUAAGUCAACUGACAAAAUCUGAAAUUAAAAUUUAAUUUGUACCCAAGAACAAAAAGAAGAAAUCUAAUUAGAGGGUAGAUUGGAUCAAAUAAAAUAGUUUUGGGGAGUAAAGUGAGCUUAAAUUUUCCUUAGGGAGUUAAGUGGACAAAGUAAUGAAGGGAGUAAAAUAGACUUUUUUUUUUCCUUUAUGCCCAUAUACCGCGCGCAAUUUUCAGCAGUAACGGACGACGGAGAGGCUGAACCGACCAUGGCAAAAGAUGCAGUAUUUCGCGUGUACUCAUGUCCAAAGAUCACAUGGAUUCAACAGCUAAUCAGUGUGUUCGGCACAGCUGCGCUCUGAACCCCCAACCCAAGGACUGGCCAGCUGAAGCGAACAGAGCCGAUAGAAACCAACCGUCAGCUCUGAACCCCCAACCCAAGGACUGGUAGUGCUAGUGCAUAGCGCGACCGCAUACCGGAUACUAGCAAGCAAACAUCUGCCCCCACAUCACAUUUGUGUUUGUCCGUCUGAAAGCUAGGCGGCAAUGCCGCUGGCGUCUGAACUCUGCACUCCAUCAUCUAUACAAAUGGGGUCUUCGAAGAAUCGAGAUGUCUCUCUAGCUGGCUGCAUCCCCUGCAAACUGAUGAGUGCAUGUCUGAUGCCUCUCCGCAACCGACCUCAGGGUCCCACAUAUCCAAUCCUAAUACCAAAGAUAUGGACCCCCUUAACAUUCUAGCAUUCGAGAUAAAGAUUCAGACUUCAGAGUAGCCAUCCCAUCCGUAGAAACAGAUAUGCUGCUGGCAGCUUGAUCAUCCUGAUCGCUAGAGAGGGAGCAGAAAGCCAGAAAGGGCAGCUCCGCUCAGCUCCGGGAGAAAGCAGCGCGGCCACGGGCCUCCCACGUUCUCUGGGUAUCGGGGUAUGGGUUUGGCGCAUCCAUUUGGAGUCAUCAGACAAAUCCCAUCACAUUGCCGCCAUCAGAGUAGGCCCAGCGGUUCAAAAUGUCUUCGGCUCUUCUCUGCCACUCGUCGUCGUCUCCCUCUUCUUAUGAUUCCAAACACAAAACGUCCGACCUGAAGUUAGCGCUAGGCCACCGCAGGCCUGAUUAUUUGAUGCGAUGCGACUUUGAGAGCUGCUGUUGCCGCUGCGGAUCACGAGAUAAAUCGAGCACCGAAACUGGUUUGAAAACUUACAACAAAACAACGGAAAGGCCGGGGUGUCGAGCCAGCUGCACGGCAAAUCAUGCUUUCCCAGCCGUAAGCUACUAUUCUAAGCGUGUCCUCUAGCCAUUAGGUCAAAGUCACUAAUUCAAGGAACACAAUGGCAAUUAGGACGUCUCCAACAAUCCAGCUCUAAGCUAAUAAAACUAAUUGUUUAUUUAUUGAACAGUGCAAAAGAUAAGAGACUACCUAGGAGUGAAGAGAUAAGCUCGCUCAUUUCGCAACGCACAUUCCUCUCGCUGCAUAAUAUUCAAGACUGGCUGCUGCACAUUCUCUCUCCUCUAAAUUGAUUAGUUUAGAGUUAGUGCUAGCUCGCACAUUUGGAGACACUUUUAGGCGCCAAACUUAGGGCAUGUUUGUUUCCACCCUCCUAAAACCUUAGCUCCUAAAAAGUGACUAAAAACUGCCUAAAGUGCCAAACACUCCUUCCAAAAAGUGACUAAAAUCUGUUAGGAGCCUCAAAAAUUUUAGUCCACCCACCCCCUCCUAAAGCCUCCUAAAACCAGAUCUGACCCCCACUACCCCUCAUUUAUUACCCUCUCUCUCCCGCCCGACUCCCGCCCGCCGCCGCCGCUGCCGCCGCCCAUCUCCCGCCGCCCGCCGCCCAUCUCCCGCAGCCGCCCACCACCCUCAACACACCCACGCACACAGGCACGAGCCGGCAACGCAUGGCCGGCCGUGGCCUUGGCCGGCGGCGGGGAAUGGCAAGGCGCGGCCGGUGAUGGGCGCAGGAGCACUGGGGCUUCACCACGACCCCGUUUUGGCUGCUUGUUGGGGACGAGGAGGCCGGGGAGGUGGUGUUCGGCGGCGGCGCCCGAGCUUGGGCCGGCGGCAAUGGCGGCUGCGGGAUCUGACAUCCCCGGCGCUAGGAGCUACGGUGGCGGACAAGGAGUGGUCGAGGGGGAAGAGGAGGGGGUCAGGAAGCCGUGGGAGGCGGCGAUUUGAAGAUGGUGGAGUGGAGGCCGGAGAUUUGGCCGGCGGACAGGCUCUGCUCAGCUCGGUGUUUCCUCGACUGGAGGAGGAAGAAGAGAUGAGUGAGAGAGAGAGAGGAACAGGGGUAGUGGGUUGGCUAGGAUUCGAGGGGAGGGGGCGGCGCCAGCGGGAGGAGGGGAGGGGCGGUCCGGGGCCGGCGGCGAGACGGCCAGCGCUGGCGGAGGGGCGGCCCGGGGCCGGCGGCGGGCGGGCCAAGCGCCAAUAGCAGGGGCAUGCAGGGGUAUGGGGAAGGGCAUCUUGGGUAUUUUACCACUUUAUUAUUGCCUUUAGUCACUUUUAUGAGGUGGAACCAAACAUACUUUUAGGAGGUGCCUAAAAACUGUCUAAAAUCUUUUAGGAGCUAAACCUUUAGGAGGUGGAAACAACCAGACCUUUAGUUACAAUCUGAUCAGAUCUGCUCGCGGCAGCAAUCAGGGUAGAAUGUUCCAAGCAUCCACGGAAACGGAAUGGAAUAGUGCAAGGAAACAAGAUCUCUCACUCCGGAGAACAGGGCCUGCAUGUUCCCCGGAAUUCCAAGACUAGAAAAAUAUAAAAACGAAAUCAACGGGUCUCUCGGAAUUCCGGCCCGGCCCAUCACCAUCCAAUCACCGUCCACCUCCCUCGUGUCCCCUUCAAAUUAAAAUCCCCAUCGCCACCACCACCUCCUCUGCUCUUCUUCAUCUUCCUCCUCGGCUCCCCUGUCCCCCGCAGGCCGCAGCCGAGCCCAGCGCAAUCCCACCAGCGCGCCGCAGCAAGUCGCAAUGCCCCCCGACGGCGACGCCACCGCGGACCUCGCGGUGGACGAGCUGCAGAGCCUCAGCUUCGGUUCCUCCUCGCGCUCCCGCUCCGCCUCCACCGUCUCCACCGCCACCGCCUCAUGCUCCACCUCCUCCUCAGGUCCACUCCACCACCUCCCGCUCCCUCCGCGUUCCACGACGCCCACCGCCGCCGCCGCCUCCACGCAAACAAUCCCGCGCCUCGGGCCCGUCUCCCUCUCCGACAUCCGCUUCCUGCGGCGGCUCGGCGCGGGGGACAUCGGCAGCGUGUACCUCGCCGAGGUCAGGGCGAAGAAGGAGAAGCCCAACGGCGGCGGCGGCGCUGGCGUGGGGGCCGUGCUGGUGGCCGCGAAGGUGAUGGACCGGAAGGAGCUGGAGGGGCGGAACAAGGAGGGCCGCGCGCGCACGGAGCGCGAGAUCCUCGAGGCCGUGGACCACCCGUUCCUGCCGCGGCUCUACGGCGUCGCCGAGGGGGACCGAUGGUCCUGCCUCCUCACCGAGUUCUGCCCCGGCGGCGACCUCCACGUCCUGCGACAGCGCCAGCCGCACCGACGCUUCUCCGAGGCCGCAGUCAGGUACGAUACCUACCGUGUUGAUCCACAUCUGCGAUCAUGAAUUCAUGCCGUGAAUGUAGUGAGCGUGCCUCGAAAUUUUGACGGGUAUUCAUGUUCAAAGGGCCAUUUUUGGGGGGCUAAAAUGUUGGCCCGGUUCAUCUUGAUCCGUAGGCAUUAAGCUAGUGAUUCUAGGCUUUUUGGGGAAGAAGAAUCCGGCAGGUUUCCUGCAGUUUUGAUUGAUUGCUGCGGCGCUCUGUUUGUUUCCUUUUGGUGUUUUAUUGUUCCUUUUUUACUUGUUUUUUUUUGUAUCCUUUCGUGUGUUUGUAGUGCACUAUAGUUUAAGGAUCUAGUGGAUGCAGUCGGCCCCUUGUGUCUUCGGUUGGGCAUGCAUCCGCCUGGUUCUUGGUUUCCUCUGAAUGCGUUUGAUCAUGAAAAACAGAGAGCGCUGCACAACGUCAGAUUAUUGCUUCCCUCUUGUUGGAUGCAUCCUUUAACGACAACGAUAGAAUCAUAGAAACAGGUCACAAAUAGAAAAGCAACGGCGGUGUGCGAGUGCGAUGCGAAAUAGUACGAAGAAGAAACUAUUUUUUUUUUCUGCUGGACACUAAAUCUGGAAACACUUGCCCGGCCCACCAUGAUCCGGUUUCGUUAUCUGAAGAAGAGGGGAAAAAAAUUUGGAGACCGGACAUCAUGGAUUGGAGCUCACUGUCACAGCACAGUCUGUUGCUUUUGAGCCAUGCAUACUAUACUGUGACUGUCAUCAGCACCACACAGCCCCCACACCAUGAUCCACCAGUGUUCCUCCUCCUGCGGAGCCCUCAAGUCAAGCCCCUGUCCAUGUUACCAUCUAUGGAAGUAAAAGCUGUGCUCGGCAUAUGCGCUUGCUAAGUUCCUUUCCAGGCGUAGCGUCGUGCGUACCUUCAAGUGAUCCCGGCUUGGGUCCCAGGCUCUCACCUUCACUACUGUACACCCCACUGUAUGAACGGAUAGUGACUUUAUUCACUUCUCGGACGGCAAAAUACGUACGUAUUAGGGGUAUACUAGGCUGCAGUGGUUGAGUGGUGGACUGGUGGUGGUUUUUAUUUCGGUUCCUGCUGCAGCUACGGUCGCUGAAACGAUUGCGGCAUCAUGUGGAUACGUUCGUCAGUCAAGGCCUCGAUGCUAGUACAUGGGUCCACCUAACAGAGUAGUACCUCAGUUGCACACUUUUGGGCGCUAGUGCUUUCAUUUUUAUUUUAUUUUUUUGGUUAAAAAAGAGAUACUUAAUCUAGUCUGUUUCGGCUCAUUAUUGAAGAGGUUCACGUCGCACGGCUCAAAAAAAUUCCAAGCACGUACUCCUUCGCCGUGAGACGCGGCUUCCCACACACGUACCAGUAUACUAACCAACCGUAGCGUUGUGAAUUGCGAUGGUACACGCUGCGGGUUCACCACCAGCUGCCGGCGACCAACGACAACAUGGAGAUCACCAGCCACCAUCGGACGGAGCAUCGUGGCACCGCCACAUGGUACGGCCGGGCUGAGACGACGGGCACGAGCGGCGCCCGUGUGCUGCGGCGCUGGAAGCGGUUCCAGGAACAUGGCACCAUGCCAUCAGUACAUGCCAUGCAGUCUUUUGGUGUAGAUGCUGCUUUGCAUUGGUCAAGGAGGGCCUUUUUAUUAACCCACAUGUGAUGCGCAAGAAUGGCAGCUCUGAAACACAUACACAGCCUAUGACCGGUCUCGGUUGAAGCCAUCUUAGCUAGCUAGGGCAUUUCUUGUAAGGGUUAAUCUAAUCUAACCCCAAGGCAAGGAUUAAAAAUUGCAUGCACACAUGCAUGGGGGAACUUCUUGAGUUCUUCUCACUUGGAUCAGUCUAGUAGUAAACCCAAGGAAGGGAUUAACAAUUGCCACGCACACAUGGGGGUUCCAUUCCGUUGCAGCAUUAAACUAGAGCAGUCAGUCGGUCCAGGCUCCCCCACCGUGCAACUCCCAACAGCCACGCCACCAUGAUGCGCUAAUUCGAGCACUGUCUGAUGCCUUUUCCGCCGUCUGCAACCUGUUACCUCUGCUCCGAUCCUCUGCACUGGAGCAGAACACAGUACAGGUUACUGACCUUGCCGUUAGUGGUUGCACGCCAGCACUGCAGCACAGGUGUGGCUGUGGCUGGCCUCCUUGGCUCUUUUGGUUACAGGCAUGUGAUGUGAGCAAAGUCGAGCAUGCACACGCACGCUUUUUCAGCAUGCAAUUGCACUUGCAGCUGCCAUGAAACACGCGCAGCUUUGCUAGUUCUAUCAACGCCUAACCAAUUGCUGGUGUGGAUGCAGCUGCAGUUGAUCCAAGCUCAACGCAAAGUUUGCAAUGAUUUUUUUGGCCUACAGUUGGACGCAUUUGAUUAUGAAUGAUAGCAGUACUAAAAAUGAAUUUCAGAUCAAAUUUACGUGUGGUGGCAACCUGUCAAAUGAUUACUGAUGGGGAAACAAAAAAAAAUGACAGAUUUGAUUAUGCAUGAUGACACUGCUAAAUGAUGAAUUUUGAGCGCAAAUCAAGACCUAGCAGCUAAUUAAUGCCGGCACUGUCACACAGGUUCUACGCGGCCGAGGUGGUUGCCGCGCUGGAGUACAUCCACAUGGUGGACAUCGUGUACCGCGACCUCAAGCCCGAGAACGUCCUCGUCCGCGCCGACGGCCACAUCAUGCUCACCGACUUCGACCUCUCCCUCAAGUGCGACCCCACCGCGCCCACGCCCGCUCACGUCAUCUCCGACCCGCUCUCCUCCCUCGCCGGCCGCUCCGCCGCCGUGUCCACGUCCUGCACCAUCUCCUCCUGCAUCGUCCCCACCGUGUCCUGCUUCCAGCUCUUCCCCGGCCGCGGCCGCAGCCGCCGGCGCCGGCGCUGGCGCACCAAGAAGCCGUCGUCGUCCAACAGCGGAAACAUCAGCAGAUUCCCCUCCGGCGGCAGUGGUGGGCUCGAGCUGGAGUUUGUUGCCGAGCCAGUGGAGCUCCGGUCCAUGUCGUUCGUCGGCACGCACGAGUACCUGGCGCCCGAGAUCGUGUCCGGGGAAGGCCACGGCAGCUCCGUCGACUGGUGGACGCUGGGCGUCUUCAUCUUCGAGCUCCUCUACGGGGUGACCCCGUUCAAGGGCUACGACAAUGAGAUGACGCUGGCAAACAUCGUGGCGCGCGCGCUCGAGUUCCCCAAGGAGCCUUCGGUGUCGUCAGCCGCCAAGGACCUCGUCACCGCGCUGCUCGCCAAGGACCCCGCCCGGCGGCUCGGCGCCACGGUUGGCGCGGCCGCGAUCAAGCGGCACCCGUUCUUCAGCGGCGUCAACUGGGCGCUGCUCCGGUGCGCCACGCCACCGUACGUGCCGCCGCCGUUCAGCUUGGGGAAUAAUGUCAAGGGUGGUGCGGCUGGUGGUGGCGGUGCCGGCAGCAGCGCCAACGAUGACGGCAUGUCGGACGACGACGACAGUUGUCCCGGCACGCCCGUGGAGUACUACUAGACAAGCCAAGGAGAAGCGUCCAUAUGUCGACCUGCGCGUGUGUGAAAAGAAGCUGCCUGCCCUGCCCGGCCUGAUGCCAUCGCCGGGACCCGAUCAGGCAGCUCUUGUCUGAGUCCGGCCGAGCCGGCGCGCGUGCACGUGGUGGGGGAUGGACCACGGCGCGAGCACGAGGCAGCCGGGUCGGGCGGGACACCGCGCGCUGUCGCCUCAAGUGGUUGCGAGCUGCCUGUCUCCGAGAGCUCUUGCGCCAUGGCAAGCAGGCGACAAUGCGCACGCUGUAUGAAUAACUUAAUGCCGUUCUUGUUGCAGUUAUUAGCACUAGUACGUGUCUUAACCUGGCUUCAGUUGUGGCAAUUGCCAGGUCGCAUUGGUUAGUGCCUGUCUCUGGAAAAUGUGUAGCUAGCUAGAGCUAAUACAUGCGGGGGUGUUGCUUGGAACGCAUAGGAAAUUCUUGUGAAAUCUCGUGUUCCAAGCAGGACCUUUUUGGAAUUGUAUCAUGCAUGUUCUUGAGUUUCUCACUUGUUCUAUUAUCAUAUAUCAUCGUUAAUUACUUGCUAGUACCAUUAAGAACGUAGAAAAGCACAAGUCCAAUUCAUUCUUGGCAGAUGGCAAGGAGAUGCGCAGUUGAUGUGAGCAUGAGCGGCGAGUUGGAGAUGAGGUGGGGGGAGGGACCUCGUCAGGGCAGGCGCGCGGCUAAUGAUACGAGGUCCGGGGUUUGGGCGGCAACCAGGGGACACGAGACGCGGAGACGAUGAUGGGAGCAGCAGUGGGCCUGGGAAGGAAUUUCUUUCACGCCGCGCUCGUGCGCCUCGCGUUGUAUGAUCACAUCACCCGCGGCCGGUUUACGGCCGGACGACGCCUACUUCUAGAGGCGAUGGGCGUGAAAGAGGGAGGAAGGGAAUGUAAAGCGGUAAAGACGCUGCUGCGCACAGAGAAAAGUUACUACCAUACCAGCUGGACUGUAUAGAAAGGCAAAGCCAGUGGUAAAAGGAGUAUAAAAGGCCUAAAGGAUACACAAACUGCAGUUGCAAUGAUCGUUCUACAGGACGUGCCAUCAAAUGCAUGCCAGUCUACGCUGGCACAGAUGAAAUGCGGCAAAUCCAAAGAAGAUGCUGCUGCUUCACCUUCACUUCACCGGAUGAGAACACUGUGUGCUUGCAUCUUCCAUGUCCAAACAUAAGAUGAUUCUUUUUUUUUUCGUUCACAAACAUUUAAAAACUCAAGCCACUUAUUAACUGAGAGAGAACGUUUGGUUUGGUGCUUGAGGAUCUUUUUUUUUUCCUAAGAAGAAUAACACAGAAACUCCAAUGUCGAGAGAUUUAGCCCAACACGAUAAUAAUUUUAGGCCUGAUGCCCUUGUUGGGCUGGCUCUGCUUGGGGCAGACAAUAAUUUCAACUGGAAAUGAUCACGCCUUUCUUCGGCCCGGCCCAAGAUAUGGAUUUCCUCUUGAUGGGCCCAAGCUGCAGGGCUAGUCAUGUACUCCCAGUCAUCCCACGUCACUAGCAACGUUCGGCAAUCAAGCUUUUCUGACAACCUGCCACACUGCAAAUCGAGGAAUUUCAUAAUCACCUCUCCCUCGAAUUUCCCGCGCCCCGCUGACUUCCCUUGCAGUCAAACCCAAGAUCCUGCCUGCUCCGUCGCCGGCACGCCCCCACGACCCACUCAGCCACUAUCCCCCACAGCGUUUGCAACGCAGCGAUCGAAUGCGUACGCCGGCGGGCGGCGGAUGGCUGCUGCAGCCGCGGGGCAGCAGCAGCAAGCUCACACAGCGGGCCAUCAACAACAUCAGGUUCACCCUGCUCUGCGCCUUCGUCACGUUCCUCGUCCUCCGCGGCACCGUCGGCGUCAACCGCCGCCUCGUCUACAUCGCCGGCUCCGACCGCGCGCCGCCCGGCGCAAAGGCCACAGAGGACAUCGAGCGCAUCCUCCGCGAGAUCCGCGCCGACUCCGACCCCGACCCCGAACCCAACGACGACGGCAACACAUCGCCGUCGACCCGGGCAACGCGGUACUACGACCGCGGCAGCGCGUGGUCGACGGCGAACUACAGUCUGGGGCCGCGGGUCACGCGGUGGAACGCCAGGCGCCGGCGGUGGCUGCACCUGAACCCGGGGUUCCCGUCCCGCGAUGCGCGCGGCAACCCGCGCGUCCUGCUCGUCACGGCCUCGCCGCCGGGGCCCUGCGACGACCCCGCCGGCGACCACUUCCUGCUCCGGGCGACCAAGAACAAGAUCGACUACUGCCGCCUCCACGGCAUCGAGCUCGCGCACAUCACUGCGCGCCUCGACGGCGAGCUCACGGGCGGCUGGGCCAAGCUCCCGCUGCUGCGCCGCCUCAUGCUCGCGCACCCGGAGGUGGAGUGGCUAUGGUGGGUGGACGGCGACGCGCUCGUCACCGACAUGGGGUUCGAGCUCCCACUCGCGCGCUACGAGGGCGCCCACCUCGUCGUCCACGGCAAUUCCUACCUCCUCUUCCAGCUCCGCUCCUGGGUCGCCGUCAGCACCGGCAGCUUCCUGAUCCGGAACUGCCAGUGGUCGCUGGAGCUGCUCGACGCCUGGGCCGUGAUGGGGUCCAGAGGCCGCGCCCGCAACGACGCCGGCAAGCUGCUGACGGCGACCCUCCAUGGACGGCCGGCGUUCGAGGCCGACGACCAGUCGGCGCUCAUCCACCUGCUGAUCACCGAGAAGGAGCGGUGGAUGGAGAAGGUGUACCUCGAGAACGAGUACUACCUGCACGGCCACUGGUCGGGGCUCGUCGAUCGGUACGAGCAGGCGAUGGAGAAGCACCACCCGGGUUACGGCGACGACCGGUGGCCGUUCGUCACGCACUUCGUCGGAUGCAAGCCUUGCGGCGGCGGCGUCGGCAGGUCAAUCAGGAGCGGCGGCAAUUCCAGUGACGAGUACCCGCUGGACCGGUGCGUCAGGGGAAUGGAACGCGCCUUCAACUUCGCCGAUAACCAGGUUCUCCGGCUGUACGGCUUCCGGCACGAGUCGCUGGCGAGCGCCGAGGUCAGGCGGGUGACGAACCGGUCGGCGAACCCGCUGGAGGCUAAGGAGGAGGCUAUCUCUUUCUUGAAGAAAUCCAAGGACCCGGAUGUCAAGAGCCAUGAUGUACGCAGAAAUCGAAAGCGCAAAGGAAAGAGAGACUCUGUUCUUGAAAGAAUUCUGAAGAGGCUGGGAUGGACGCCUGGGAUUUGAUAAUUUUUUUAAUGUUCUUGUAUUUCAGUUUGCAGUAGCUAGAGCUAGCGCACACAGCAACAAGAACAUACAGCAAGUGAUCUGCAGUUACUUGUUUGUUGUUUUAGUUCUGGGUUGAGUCAGGACUCAGGACAAAUGAAUUGGCGGAAGAGGUUCAAACAUUGCUACGUUCAGAGUCUUCAGUAAAUAGUACUAAUUGAAGUCACGCUGACUCUGAAAUCUCUGUCUAAAGUACUAAUUGAUCAGAUUUCCCAGCUUUGACAUAGCAUAGAUCUGCUGAUGAAAAUGAUAGCACUACCAAUUCUUCAGAUAAAAUAUUUGCGCAUUUGUUGUCCAAAGAGAACUGAAACGAAGCCACUCUGACGAGCAUUAGUGCUACAACUCAAAAUACUGUGUUUGAACCAUACGUUUCUUGCCUGUUUCAUUUUGACCUGAAUCCUAAACAAAACAACUAGUACCAGCGAAAUCUGAAGAAUUGUUGUGUAUUAGUGGCACAAUUCACAGUCGCAUUGUUUGAACCAUGCAUUUCUUGCCUAUUUCGUAUUGCUCUGAAUCCAACUAAAAACAUCGAACACACUUACUGCUUGCACUAGCUACUGCAAAACUGAAAGCCAAGAACAAACAAAGAACUCAGAAAAACUUGUAACUUUCAAGAACAUAGUCUCCCUCUCUCUCCAACGAGGCCUACUAGACGCGCUGGAACUUGGCGUCCAUCUUGAGCGCGGCCUCCUUGGCCUCGAGCGGGUUGGCCCUCGGGUCGGUGACCCUCCUGACCUUGGCGCUCACCAGCGACCGGUGCUGGAAGCCGUAGAGCCUGAGCACCUGGUUGUCGGCGAAGUUGAAGGCGCGCUCCAUCCCCCUCAGGCACCGCUCCAGCGGGUAGUCCUCGUACCUCCCGCAGGUCUUGCACCCGACGAAGUGCGUGAUGAACGGCCAGCGGUCGUCGCCGAGCCCCGGGUGGUGCUCCUCCAUCAUCUGCUCGUACCUGUCCACCAGCCCCGUCCAGAAGCCAUGGAGGUAGAACUCCGUCUCGAUUUGCACCUUCUCCAUCCACUUGUCCUUCUGGAUGAGCAGCAGGUGGAUCAGCACCGACUGGUCGUCGGCCUCGAACGGUGGCCGGCCGGACAGGCUCGCCGUCAGCAGCUUCCCGGCCUCGAUGCGGGACGGGCCUCUUGGGCCCAUGGGCACCCACGCGUCAAGAAGGUCCAGCGACCACUGGCAGUUGCGGAGCAGGAAGAUGCCGGCGUUGAGGGAGAUCCAGGAGCGCUUCUCGAAGAGGAGGUCCGGGUAGCCGUGGACGACGAGGUUGCGGCCCUCGUAGCGGGAGAACGGGAGCUCGAAGGCCAUGUCGGUGAAGAUGGCGUCGCUGUCCAUCCACCAGAUCCACUCCACCUCCGGGUGCGCCAGCAUGAGGCGGCGCACCAGCGGGAUCUUGGACCAGUACCCCGUCAGCUCCGGGUCCAGGUGCGCCAUGUUGUGCACGAUGUCCAUGCCGUGGAGCCGGCAGUAGUCGAUCUUGUUCUUGAUCGCCUUGAGGAGGUAGUGGUCGCCGGCGGGGUUGUCGCAGGGCCCCGGCGGCGAGCCGGUGACGAGCAGGACCUUCGGGUUGCCGCGCGCGUCGCGGGAAGGGAACUCCGGGUGCCGGGACAGCCACUCCUGGCGCUGGGAGUCCCAGUCGCUCACCUUGGGGCCCAGGCUGUACUCCUUCACCUUGAUCAGCGUCGCCGACGGCGAGAACGAGAAGUUGCCGAAGCCGCCGGCCGUCACGUUACUGGGGGACGACGAGGAGGAGGAGCCGCCGUCCCCGACGAAGACUACGACCUCGUCGGGCUCGGAGUCGGAGCGGAUCUCGGCGAGGAUGCGCUCGAUGUCCUCGACGACCUUGGCGUCGGCAGCGGCGCCGUCGGGGUCGCCGCUGUUGACGAGGAGGUUGAAGCCGGCGGUGCCGCGGAGGACAAGCACGGUGAUGAAGCCGCAGAGGAGCGUGAUCUUGAUGUUGUUCAUGGUCCGCUGCCGCUGCUUCUUGAUGCUGCUCGCACGCAUCCGCCCACCGCCGCCGGCCACCCCCAUGCUGCUACCUCGCGGAUGGAUCUCUCGAUCGUCGUUGGAAGCUGUGAGAGCUAGUGAUUGAUGGGGCUGUCGGGUGGAGUUAGAUGUAUAGGGAGGAGGGACAGGGUUUUGGACGAGCAGGAGCAGGCAGGAACGUUCGGUUCCAGGAGGUGGCACGUUUGUGUGCAGUGGAAGUCAGCGGGGGCGCGGGAACUACGAGGGAGGAGGUGAAUACGAAAUUGCUCGGAUUUUGCAGAGAGGUACGGCAGGCGAGAGCACGAUUCCCGUUCUGCAUUACUAUAUGCUCACCGUCCCGUAGGGAGAUGCCAGAAUGUGACUAUCGUGAGGUCCUGCAUGCUGUGCUCUUUGUUGACUAUAAUUGGAGAGUGUGACAGUGUGUGCUUCUUCAACCGAGGGCUGUGCAUGUAGCGAUAUUAUUUACUAUAGGGCUUCCUUUAAGAUUUUAGUAGUAACGCAAAUCUACCCUGGCUGUAAGAUACUAGAUAUAUAGGAGAUUAAUUGUUCUAAGGGGUAAAAAAGGGAGAUUCUUCACCAAAGCCCUAUUUCUGCAAAAAUAUAAUUCACUCAACUUUGCACACUUGCUGAAUUCUGCAGUAUAGGAAGCAAGAACAAACCAAGAGUCGGAUCUCUGCAUCACAGAACAAUAGUGUCAAUGCAAAAUUACUGUAAGCAAUAGUUGCAGGGGAUGUCUCACAAACCCUCUUGUUAUUAUUAUGUGGUUUUUGAGCCCUGUUUUCCUUAAAAACUAUGGCAAAGAUCUUGCCAUCCUUUCGGAAUAAAAGAAUAAUUACAGUUGGCGUAGACUUCAUGCUCUAGGCCGGUGUCGUUGAUGCUCCGGGUGACAGGUCUACCAUUUCCAUUGCUUGCAUUCUGAUCUCAGCUGGAUAAUCAUUCACACACGCAAUCCUUGGACCAGCCCCAGUGCUCCAUUUCAUGGACAACUUGUGCCCAAGCUGGUAAGAUUUAGACUCGCUCUUGGAUUUUAUCCUCUCAAGAAUUGCCUUCUGCGGGACAUCAAUGGCAGCUUUUGGGCUACGCAAACCACCUGAUAAGGUUCUUUGGUAUGUUAGCUUGGCUUGUUCUUCAGGAGCAUCCUUGCCUUCAUCACCUUCCAUUGUGUUUGGAGAGAGAACCACUUGUGGGGUAUUGGUAGAAACAACAAUGUUCUGUGUAUCGUUAGGCGUUGGAUCAUCGCAGCAGUCAUCUUUGGUGAAUGGACGUGCCUGAAUGGUCAAAACUAGCUCCUUAUGAGAAAACCCAUCUAUGACAACAUAUGUAAAUCUGAUAUUGUGAUGACUAUAUUGGUCUAGCUACCUUGAUUUCUUUGAGAUCAACCCCACUCUCUUCAAGGAAUUUCAUGAAAUUGACGAGGUUCUCCAUGCUUGGCUUGUAAUGACCACUGUAGGUCACGAUGGACUUAUCCAAAAAUAAUAAAAAAACAGAAAAAACAUGAGAGCAAGACAAAUCAAAGUAUGGAAUAAUACUAUCUUUUGCUCUAGGCAGAAAUACAAGGGGUCGACAAAAUCCAUGGUCGUCACAAUUAACUUCCAUGGUGGUUGUUUCAAGAUAAGUAACUAAUUUGAUGGGUAGGACUAUAGUAGAUACAAAAGUAUACAUUUUGCUAUGCUUACUCCAAAAGUCACAAACAUAUUUAUAAAUAAGAUCAAACUUUGGAUAUGUAUGUAACAUUUAUCCUUGAAAACAGAUGUAUCUCUGAAUUCUUGUUUUUAAAUUUGUAUAAUAGUGAAUUAAGGGAUCAUCAACUGUUGGACAAAAACGUAUAUAUUCGGCUUGGUCAUAAAUUCAGAAUUAAUGAACAACAUAAGCAAGAAUACUAAGGAUUUUUUUACAAAUAAAAACAAAGUGUUUUUUACCAAGAAAGUAAAAAAAAACACCACAUCAAACAGUGAUGUCACAGUGGGGCAUACAACAAUACCUUGAUCACUCCAUUUUCUGCUGUAAGUUUUCCAGCAGCUAUGAUAGCACCUCCUGCUAAAAAACUAGAGUGCUGAAAUACACCUUUCUCCUUCUGGAUGAAUAAAUCAGGUUAUAGAAAUAUAUAUUGGCCUAAUCGUAAGCUAAAAGAAUUGCUAUAAUAUUGUUUCUAGAGCAUUGCAAGUAUGGAAGUCGUUGAAAAAGUAAACAAGGUACCUUGCCAGAAUAAAGUUUUCUUGCUGUGCUCAUUACAAAAAUCCACUUAGCUUCUUCAGGACCUUGGCUUGUAUCAAGUGGUUCUCCAGAUUGCUUAUGGAUAACCUUUCCCUCACUAAUGAUGUAUUCAUAGAGCUCACGCUCUCGCUGUAGAACAUUGGGAACUUAUUAGAACUUACUUCAUACAUAGUAGCAGUAGCAGUAUGUUUAGUAGAAACCAAAUGAAUAGCUUGUCUAACAAAGAAUUCCUUUUUUCCAAUUUAGCAGUGUGCCGUGUUUAAAGUCAAAUGCAUUUUUGCAUAGUCAUAACUAAUGAGAAAAAACAAAUAAGUAGCAUGAACAAAAGUAGGUCAGGUCAUGGCAGAUGAUAUUCACGUUUCAUUUAAAACAAUAAUUGAUAUUUGAGGCUAUGUAAAAAUACAGCAUAUCAAUAAUUUUAUUAUUAAUAAAAAUAUUACAAAAAUUUGCAACACAUAUUUGAACAGGGAAAAAAUAUCUUUGAAAAGGUGAACUUAUCUUUACAUAACAACAAUAGUGGCAUUUAAUAAAAAAAAGCAUCAUAUAACUAAAUUGAGGUUUUAUGCGUAAAGUGUCAAGCCCUUGUACAAACUCUUCUCGCAAUAUUUUGAUACCGAUAUAUGGCAUGAUUUAUGGAUAAAGAUAGCCUGAACAUAUAUUUCUUACAGGACCGAGGUAUUUUAUGCAUUGCUUCUUAAGCAUAGUUCUUGGACACUCAGGGAGAUCAAUAUCUUUUCCAUUCCCAACAUCAAGCCUGCAAAUGGAAGCGGACUUGCUAAAAUUGCCAUGCAAUCGAACUAACAUCUUAAAUUGCUCAAAAGUUUUUCAAUAUGCACAUAUAUAUUAUCAUAUGUUAUGCCAACUGCAUCAACUCAUUCUAUUACGAAAAUAUGCAAAUGCAGUAUGUUCUCACCAAUAGAAGAAGGGCUGGCUGGCUUGGCUUUGGCACCAAAAAUCAUAGUAGAAGUGCAGGUUGUGCCCAGACCGAUGUUGUGGAUCGAUCUACAAAGCAACCAGUGGAUAUAUUAUAUAUUGUUAUAGCGCUACCGUUGAGAGUGUUGAAUAUGCUGAAAGUGGCAUCUUUUAACCCAAAUGCAGUUACAAUGAAAAAUCCUAAGAGUAAUUAAUAUUGAAUUAAAAGUAGUGGUACUGGAUUGGUACUAGUUAUACUCACAGCCUCAAGCCAGUGCUGUGAAGCCAACUUGAGAGCCUUGCUAUCUCUAGAGAGACCUUGACCAACCUGGGUCAAUCACAUAAAUAUAUGACAAAGAGAGCGAUGUCGGAGAAGUCAAAACAAAAUGAGAUUUCCCAGCAUAAUGAACAUUUGUGAAGUAUAGCGAUUGAAACCUUAGAUGCUUUGAGGCUAACUCGAUUCCAAUGUGAUGCUCCACUCUUAGGCUUGGGUUCAACGAAGGAGAUAGUGCUAUGAUUGAGCCGUGCAAAGUUCAGCGCUUGCCACCUUCAUUCAUCCAAACUCAAACCCUAUUAUUGUUUUAUCAAAACUUAUUUGGACACGCAUCAAGGAGAAUCAAUUUAGUUUUUCUUUGGGACCUUGCAUUCUCCAUGAACUCCAAAUAAUACAUAGUAUCAAGAACCAAAACAAGAUAAUUGGUAGGGAAAAGUUACAGGAAAAAAUAUCUUCCAAAGUAGCAAAUUAAAAUGGCCUACAUAAUUAAUCACUUAGAGCACCAAUGUACUAAAACAUGUAAAAUUUUUAAACCAACUUAAGUUUAUAAUUGGAUUCAAGAAGACAAAGCUAUACUAUAUUCUAACCAAGGCUAGCUAAUUAUAAAAAUGAUGACCACAUGGAUUUUGGUUACCCUGGGAACCUUGCAAUGAUGUUGUAAAAAUAUGGAUACAUCAGCUAGCAGGUAUCAAAGGAUCCAUAGUUGGGAUUAUAAAUCCCAAGUCUAGGCUAUAGAUUCUCUUUUUGUUGUCAACCACAUAAAACUCAAACAUGUUAAAUAUCUUUGCAUCAUCAUGUUCAAUUAGGUCAUGUCCGAACAUGCAAAGUAUUUGUUAAAAUUGUAGUGAAUUUUUAAAUAAAUUGUCCUUUUUAUCAUAUUUUUGCUAUACCUUAAUAGAGAUGUUUUGCUGCUUUUUGAAAUUUACUCCCUCCGUUUUGUUUGUUCUAAGUCAAAUUACUCUAAGUUUGAUCAUCUAACACAUUAAAUAAGUAAAUUAUGAAAAUAUAUUUCGUAAUGAAUCUAAUUAUGCUCAUUUGAUACAUUAAAUAUUAUUGCUCUUUUCUACAAUUUGGUAAGUUUGAUCAUCUAACACAUUAAAUAAGUAAAUUAUGAAAAUAUAUUUUGUAAUGAAUCUAAUUAUGCUCCUUCGACUACAAUUUGGUCAAAUUAGCAUUAGUUUGACUUAUUAGAACAAACCAAAAUACCUUGCAAUUCAGAAUGGAGGGAGUAUAUAUUUUGUUAAAAUUACAAUAUUUUUUUAAUUCUAGGUUACUGCUAUGCUGUUGAAUAUGUUUACUCAAGCUUAUAAAAGGUGAGGGAAUUAGAGCUGGUGAAUUAGUGCUGCUAAUUGAAAUUUUGCACUGUGUGUGUAUAUAUAUAUAUAUAUAUAUAUAUAUAUAUAUAUGUAUGUAUGUAUGUAUGUAUGUAUGUAUGUAUUUUACAAUAAGAUUCAAUCGAACAAACCUGGAGAAAUUCGCUUCAAAAAAACAAACCUGGAGAAAUCUCACCCAGGGAAACUAAGAAAGAGCAGAGGAGAGGAAUCGUCUAUAAAAAAAGAAGAGGUAAAACAGAGGAAGAGAGAAAGGAAAGGGCAAAAGUGGUGUGGGGUCUCGUUACGGCGGAAUCGGCGAGCUUCCGCCUGGUCCGGUAGCCACGGUACGCCUUCUGCAGCUUGGUCGCCGCCGCGUCAUCCAUGCUGCCGCCGUUUCCCGCAACCGGGCACCUCGGAGAAUCCGCAGCGCCGAAGCCGGCCGGAGGGAAAGCCGCCUCCGUCUCCAGCUUCUGAUUUCUCUGAAGACCGAGCAAGCAGUUUUAGCUUGGUCGCGAGGCAGAGGAUGACUGCAGCUAGCCUUCACGAGUAGGCGCAGGAAAGCAUCCCAUUCCCGUUCGCCUUUAGACUAAGACUACUAUAAUCCUGGUAACAAGAAGUAUACCACGCAUUCUGCGCAUGCAAUUGUUAAUUCUCUUUUGAAGGAGCCCUCACCAGAAUUAACAAUAAUGGCAUAUGGUUCGUUAUCAAAAGAAGAAGAUGACCCCGACCGAGACCAGUCGUAGGCUGUGUAGGUAUUUCAGAGCUGUCAUUCUUGCGCAUCAUCGUCUCCACGAGAGAGGAGCACUAGUGAUGGUCUGGUGUCAUGUUCCCGGAACGGUUCCUGCGCCGUAGCAGACGGGCGCCUCUCGUGCACGUCUUCCCAGCCGGGCGUACGUAGCAUGUGCCAUGAUGUGUUGAUGGUGGCGAAUUGGCGAUCUGUCCAUGUUGUUGGUCGCCGGCAGGUGAACCCGCUGCACGGGUGAUUCAUUGGGUUGCAUGAUCAGUGCUAUCCUUGUGGUAAGAUAUUAGACAUAGGAGAUUCAUUGCUUCAUCAAGAUUAAAAAAAGGAUAUUCCUUCACAAAAGCGCUAUUUGUGCAACAAUGUAAGUCAGACAAGAAACUGCUGAAUUCUAGCUAGGAAUUAAGCAAGAACAAACCAAGAGUCCGACCUUUUCACUUUUGCAAUACAGAAAUAUCAACGCAAAGCUACAGUAAAAACUCAUCCCUCGUGGAGGACUUGCUCCAAGGUAUUGCAGUAAAAAGAAUUUUUUCGCAAGCUGCAGGAUCGAAAAAAGACCAAAGGCCGGAUACCCAUGACUUGCUCUGAAACUAGCCACAUGCAAGGGGCCUUUUUUGUGAGAUUCAGUGUCACACCCCAAAAUUUUUAUUUUGGGCUGUGAAUAAACAAAAUCAAUAAAAUCAGUUUUUUUUCUUAUUUAUAAAAUAUUCCAACAAUUAGUUAAUAGCACAACACUUAAUUAUAUGAAAUAAAUAGUUUCUAAAUUAAACAAAAUAGUCAAUAUAGGUUAUAUAUUUUUGUUUGGCUCACGGGUCAUGCCAAAUAGUUUGCAUCUGGGGUUUCUUGUUUGGAAAGUGUAUUUCAAAAUUCGAUAGAAGUUCAUUUCAACAUAAUUUGAGUUAGAUUAAAUCCUAAACACCAUUUGGACCGGCUCACUCUUUGUUUCUUCCUUCCUCUUCUUUUCUUUUUGCUUUUCGGAACUGAAACCGAACCAUUCAUUCUCUCCAACAGGACCGAGCUCAGAUUCAGCACAAACCGCCAGCCCGACAAGCUCCUUCUUCUCUCUUGCUCGGCACGGCAACAACCUGCAUGGAACCACUGCCCUCGCCGCAAACAGCAAGCAUCAGGUGGAUCCCGAACAUCUCUAGUGGUAUCAUCUAGGUUUCUGAACUCUCAAAAUGCAUUAUUGGAUUCUGAACUUAUCUUAGGGCGAUGUCAUCAUCUAGGUUCCCAAACUCUCAAAAUGUAUUUGAAGUCCCUGAACUUUUCUCAGGGUGUUAUCCAAGUCCCCAAUAAAGUCUCAAACUGCAUUUUCGGUCCGAAAUCUUGUCAGGUGCUAAGCAUGAGAGGAUGGUGGAGCAGGAGGCUAGUGACGAUGGUGUAGGAGUUGGAGGAUGACUAGGGGCUAAGAUCUGGCUGGUGCAUAGGCUCAGGCAUGGGUCUUGCAACCAGAAGGUGAGGUUUGUUGCAGUGUCGCCGAUGCUUGAUUGCUGGAGCUAGGACACAGUAGCCUGGGCAGGAGAGAAAACAUCACGGUGGCAGGAAGGGGCGAGAUCUAUCAUGAGAACUAGGAGUCCUAAUCUUUCCCUCCGUUUGGUUUAGUAAUGACGUUAUGAGUUUAAGGAUCUAAAAAGGUAUUUAGAGAGUUUAACGGCUCCGGAUGACAUUUCGGGACAAAUGUGGAAUCUAGAAAUUUAUUUUAAGAAUUUAGAUAUCUAGAUGGUACCUUGGGAUAAGUUUAGCACUUAAAAUAUAUUUUGAGUGUUUAGAGACCUAAAUAACACAAUAACAGUAAGACAGGUUCAGGAACCACCCAUGCAUUUUGCCAACCUCACUAAUAGCUCAUAUGUUAGAGUCUUAAUUAGACCACCCUUACAGAAAUUCUCGGACUUCGCGCAACUACUUUACGUAGGAGCAGCUCUAAGUAUAAUAUAGUAAAACCAUAAAUGACGAUACAUAGGAACAACAAAAUGAAAUUAGUCACAAGCUUAGUGAUAACUUUAUCCUGCACGCACUGAGUGAAUCAUGGCAGAAAAAAGUCAUUAGAGAGAUGCUCCCUCUGCCUGAAAUCUAAGAUAUUGUGGUUAGCAUAAGUUUGAUCAAAUUUAUAGAAAAAAAGAUCUCAUCCUAGGCAUACCGACGUAUAACAGCGCCCCAUUCAUGCACGCCACCAGCAUACAUCACAUCACAUUUUAUUGGUUAGUUAUACGCCGGUGUGCCUGCUCGAUGAGAUCCUUUUUUCUAUAAAUUUGGUCAAACGUAGGCUAACCAAAGUCUACAGCACGUACAACUGCCACAAAGUCUACAGCGUUCCACGUGCUCCAUCGACCGAUCGAUGAUUCAAAGUAUCUUAGUAUCACGCAUGGCGGUUUGAUGCAUGCGAUACAUGUACAGCGUACUAGUGCUAUUCUGUCAAGAGUUAGGCGCUAGGUCCAUGACUCCAGCGGCCAAUCCAGUCUCCAGGCGAUCACGGCCCCAUGCCCAGCCCAGGCCAGCCUUGCACUAGGUUUUGUUGCAAGUUGCAAGUAGUCUCCAGGUCCACAAACUGGAAAUGCUAGCAGGUAGUCGUAAGCAUGAAACACUAGCGUGCAGGGUAUAGCCAGGAACUCAUUUUUUUUUUCAUUGUUAGGGGAACCAGCAAUAGUAUUUUUUUUGAAUUUGGUUCAAUUCAAAAAAUUUCAGUGGAAAAUCGGAAACCAUAGGGAAUCCAAGCCCCUGCCCCCCUCCCUCCACCACUGAAAACUUGUGCAUCGUCGUCGUUUUAAUUUGGAGCCGAUGGAGAGAUCAGAUAUCAAGGAGGACACGCUCCAUGGGUGGAAACUUUGGCUUCAUCGGUGUACGAUAACCCCGGAGAGACACUUGCAACCUGACUGGCUUGCGUGCACACGCUGCUAGGCGGCUACGCUAGGCCAAUGCAGACACUAGCUUCUGCCGAGCGAUCACCCUGCAUGCCCGCUGGCCUAUAAAUACCAGGUAUCGGCAAACUUGAAGCAGGCACACAAACACACACGGUUGGGAUUUGGGAACACAGCUAGGUAGCGAUGGCAUCCAACAAGUCCUCCAUAGCUUCCCCUGCUCUCAUGUUCCUAGCCGUGGCAGCACUCAUAUUGGCCACUUCUGUGCGGGCCCAGACACCCGCUCCUACGCCGGCACCGACUCCAGCUCCAGCGCCGGUACCGGCCCCUACACCUACGCCUACUCCAGCACCAACCCCGACUCCGACGCCUGCACCGACGCCAGCACCCACUCCAGCUCCUACGCCGGCACCGACUCCAGCUCCAGCGCCGGUACCGGCCCCUACACCUACGCCUACUCCAGCACCAACCCCGGCUCCGACGCCUGCACCGACUCCAGCACCAACUCCAGCUCCGACGCCAGCUCCGACGCCAGCACCCACUCCAGCUCCGACGCCAGCACCUGUGCCCACGCCUGCCCCGGCACCAUCCCAAGGUCCUUGUCCUUCUGGCUUCCCUAAC
rnacentral:lncRNA from 1 species